GCCCGUGAAACAUAUCCUCACACCCGAAACAUAUCCUCACGCCCAAAACUGCCCACAAAACCUAAAUUCGCUACCACUUCCUCACGCUAACUCCUGUCGUCGGAACCUCCCCGCCGCAGCCCUAAACUCCUCUCCGCUAACAUCUUCACCCGUCCUCUCUCCAUCGAAGCCCUCUCUGGCCUAGUCGGGUGUUGCCGUCACCUUCUUCCGCUGGGUGUGAUCCUGCUACCUCAGCGACCAGCACCCACCCUAUGCGUGGAACCUUGUGGUCGACCUCCUCGGCAAGAACUUUUCGACGCCAAGUGAAACUCUGUCCACUCCAUGCAAUCCGAGGGCCUUCUCUCCAUGCCUCCUACAAUGGUGAUCUUGAUUUUUAGUACUGCCACAUCUCCAAAGGUGCAUGCCCCUUUUCCAUAGCAGAUAAUGGGUGUAGAUUGCAUGACAGAAGAACUUAAGUCUUAGUGAUGCUGGUUCUCUCUGGAAUUGUUCUGCUGCCCGUUCUUCUAGUGGUUGCAACUGAACCUGCACCAUCUUCCACGGAUAGCAAUAGUGAAGGAAGCUUCAAGAACCUUGACAAAUUGACCAUGGGGCAUGUCAAUCUAAGCUAUGUUGGUCUCUGGAAUUUAUCCUUCAAUGAUUUGUAGGUCAUGUAAAUGUCGCUCGUCAUUUAACAGCCGAGGUUGAAACAUUGCUUUUAGCCACAUUAAUACACGAGGUGAUGCAUGCUUUAGAUUUUGACCCUCAUGCCUUUGCACAUUUCCAUGAUGAGUGAAAGAGAUGAAGGCGUAGUCAGGUCACUAUGCAAGUUAUGGAUGAGAAGUUUGGUUGUGCAGUUGCACGUAUUGUCCUGCCCCGACUAGUUAUGCAUACUAGAUACCAUUAUGGGGCAUUUUCUCAAAAUUGGUGAAGGUCCGAGCCCACCCAUUGGUUUUCAGUAACUCAAUAAAGAGAUGAUGAAAUUAGGCCAGACCUUAUUUUCAUGGCUCCUUGUUCGCAAGACAAAUGCUUAGGGAGCUAAUAUGUUAGUUGGCAAAGAGGAGAAACAUCUGGUAAACAAUUGCAACCAUUGCAGAUCAGUUAGCAUUCCCCAAGGGCCUAAAUUCAGCACCAGGAAGACCAAGAGUAGCUCCCAGCAGUCCUGUAAUUUUCGAAGUCACUUUGGAGUAUGUUCCAGGCCUAGACAAUGAGUAAACCUUGUGCUUCCAGUUCCAUCCACUUGUUUAGAGGAGUUAAAGAAAUGAGCUUGGAGAGCUUAAAUUUUUUUAAUCUGUAAGUUAUAUAAAGAUAUAAAAUAUGUGGGAAUAUUUCUUUCUCAUUUAAAUAUCCUACAAUUCUUCAGCUUUUUAUUCAGAUUGAAUUCUGAUUUAUUCUUUAUAACUAGUUAAAAUUUGUGAUGUA